rnacentral:tRNA from 1 species
UCCCUGGUAGUCUAGUGGCUAAGACUUUGUGGUUGCAAUGCAAGGGGUCGAGGUUCAAUCCCUGGUCAGGGAA